rnacentral:rRNA from 1 species
UACGUAGGGUGCGAGCGUUAAUCGGAAUUACUGGGCGUAAAGGGUGCGCAGGCGGUUAUAUAAGACAGAUGUGAAAUCCCCGGGCUCAACCUGGGAACUGCGUUUGUGACUGUAUGACUAGAGUACGGUAGAGAGGGGUGGAAUUCCUGGUGUAGCAGUGAAAUGCGUAGAUAUCAGGAGGAACAUCGAUGGCGAAGGCAGCCCCUUGGACCUGUACUGACGCUCAUGCACGAAAGCGUGGGGGAGCAAACAG